UCGUCUCAGCUGAGCUCAGCCCAGUCCGGCUCGGCUCGGCUGAGCCCAGCCCAGCUCAGCGCGGCCAGAGGCUCCGAGCCGCGAAAUCCGUGCUGGGUGACUCCAGGGAAGCGUAACUGGGAGUAGAGCCCUCUGAAGAGUGCAGCAAAGUCCUUGAUGAUAGCCAAGUUAAACAUUUUAGGAAACAGAAGCCACUUCUCUAUAGGAACUUAGCAGCAGAACUCACAGCUAAACCACAGACAGUCCGUGUUUGAAUGGGUGCUGAUGCCAGCCUCGGGUGAAUGACUUUUAAAAGCAGCAUCACGUAAAUGUGUCUGAAUAAAAUAGGAGCAGAUUGCAAGCAGUUCCUAAGACUUGAGUGAAUGACCUUUCUUGCUGUUGUAAUUUCCAAAUUUUUGGCAGACUCUCCCCUGACCACUAUAUUUCAUUUCCGUGCACCCCUGUACUUCCCAAUUCCGGUCAGGAGCAGAAGCAGAAGUAAUAAAAUACCACAAGAAAAGCUAUUCUUGUGAUAUUUCCGGUGCUACUGGAUGCAGCACCAACAGGAAAUCUCAUGAGAAAGACUGUCCCUUCACAGUUUCCAGGCCCCACUUUGGAAACCCAAGUGACUUGGUGGGAAUAAACAGCAAAUAAGCAUCCUCCAGCUUGGGUGAUUAAAACUUCUCCCAGCAUUUCUGGCCCAGUCCCUUCCACUCCAAGGUGCACAAGCCUUGUGACAGUGGUAGACACAGAGAAAACUGUGGAUGGCCCAUGAUAGUCUGAGCCUUCCUUUCUAUCCAGUUAUGUGAAACAAAGGGACCUGCAGGCCUGCAGCCUUCUCUCUUCUGAAAUGAGUCCUUGAGAGCUCACUGUGCCUCAGGAUUGCAGCCUUGACCUUGCACGUGUCCGAUGGUGAUGAUCUGCAGAAAGGAGGAUAUCCCCCUUCCACUUCAGGCUGCUCCAGGAGGAUUCCCAGUCUCCCAAGAGACUAAGAAGGUAAAGAGGGAAACAAGCAG